GACAGAGGUGCCAAGCGUUAGGCGGAAUCACUGGGCUUAAAGCGUGUGUAGGCGGGGGCCUAAGUCCCUUGUGAAAUCCCACGGCUCAACCGUGGAACUGCUCGGUAUACUGGGUGCCUUGAGCCACUUAGGGGCUACCGGAACAAAUGGUGGAGCGGUGAAAUGCGUAGAUAUCAUUUGGAACGCCAAUGGUGAAAACAGGUAGCUGGGAGUGUGCUGACGCUGAGACACGAAAGCCAGGGGAGCGAACGGG
rnacentral:rRNA from 1 species